CAAUUUAUCAAUGUUAAUGCACAAACUACUUCCCUAUACAUCCACUCUUUGGAUGAACAAAUAUGUUUUGAAUCACAUAGUUGAUUCACUUGUGUAUUUAGUACAAAAAAUGCAUUUAUUAUAAAUAGAAAAAAAUAUUAGUUGUAGAAGUGUAAUUUUUGGUAGGAAUUUUGAGAAGGAUAUAUAUAUAUAUAUAUAUAUAAAUUUAGCUAAUAUUAAGUGAUGGUCCAAUGUGGUAGUUUUUGUUGUUGUUGAAUUUUUAAUUAGGUUAGAAAGCUAAAGAUGACUCUUUAAUUUAAAACUACUCAAAAAGAAAAAGAAAAAGAAAAAGAAAUUAGUAGUUCUUAACAAAUAAAACAGAAUAAAAAACAAUGAAUAGGAAAAGAAUGGAGAAUAGAAAAAACUAGCUAAAGGAAAAAGAAGGAAAAUAAAAAAAUUAAAAUUAAAAUUAAAAAAACUCCACGGUUGUUCCACAAUUUUCAGAAGGAACCAUCCAUGAGGGGUUGGGGCUGCCUUGGCUUUCUCGCUUUUUUUUUUUUUUUUUUUUUUUUUUUUUUCUUCCGUGAGUUUUAAGCUCCAAUUUUGGAGGAGCUAUUCUUUUAUGUUCUCUUAUGUUCUUGUCUGCGGUGCUCUGCUGCUGGACUUGGGAUGUGUCGACGUUCCGUUUCUUCCAUUCUUGAGUCGGUGUUAGGGUCCAGCAUUGGACCUCGUAUUUUAUUUUAUUUUAUUUUUUUCUUUUCUUGUUCUCUGUUCCGUCAGUGGCGGCUGUGCGGUGGAUUAGAGUCUAAUUUUUUCCACGUGAAGAUACGCUGGGGCUGCGGUGUAGUAUAGCGAAGCACAAGAAUUUGUGCGGCGGUGGUUCUUGGCUAAGGUGGUUUUUUUCCUCUCCCUUGUUGAUAGCAGUCUAGCGGUGCUGGCCAUUUUAGUUGUUCUUUGUUUUGCAUUUUCGCGCGAGCGGC
rnacentral:lncRNA from 1 species